CGCACAUUGCGCCCGCUGGAAUUCCAGCGGGCAUGCCUGUUCGAGCGUCAUUUCACCCCUCAAGCCUCGCUUGGUGUUGGAGCACUACCGUGUUAAUCCGCGGUAGGCUCUCAAAUUCAGUGGCGGGCUCGCUAAGACUCUGAGCGUAGUAGUUACUCACCUCGCUUUGGAUGGAUUAGCGGUGCCUUUGCCGUAAAACCCCCCAAAUUUCUGAAUUUUGACCUCGGAUCAGGUAGGAAUACCCGCUGAACUUAA
rnacentral:misc_RNA from 1 species